rnacentral:rRNA from 1 species
AUUGAACGCUGGCGGCAGGCCUAACACAUGCAAGUCGCACGAGUGGCGGACGUGUGAGUCAUGUCUGGGGAACUGCCCGAUGGAGGGGGAUAACUACUGGAAACGGUAGCUAAUACCGCAUACCCUCGGAUGUGCCCAUAUGGGAUUAGCUAGUAGGUGGGGUAACGGCUCACCUAGGCGACGAUCCCUAGCUGGUCUGAGAGGAUGACCAGCCACACGUGAACUGAGACACGGCCCAGACUCCGACGUGAGGCAGCAGUGGGGAAUAUUGCACAAUGGGCGCAAGCCUGAUACAGCCAUGCCGCGUGUAUGAAGAAGGUCUUAGGGUUGUAAAGUACUUUCAGCGAGGAGGCGUUACUCGCAGAAGAAGCACCGGCUAACUCCGUGCCAGCAGCCGCGGUAAUAC